ensembl:lncRNA
ACCGAAGGUGGAAAGACGCGGGGCAGCGGGAGAAGCCAGCAACUCUCAAAGCUCUCAGGACGGACGGGGAGGGAAAAGGAGACCGGCGGGGACAAUGACGGGGCGGGGCGAGGAGCAGCCGAGCGACUGAACGUCGGGAGUGGGAACGAGGCUAUUCAUACUCCCGCCGGCCGGGCGGGAAAAGGGGCGGGACCCGGGCCUUAACCCCUGGAGUUCGGGAAGUGGGGCGGGCCCGUGUCCGUGCGCCCCGCUGUGCUGGAGCCUGGAGCCCAGCGGAACGCCUGCCUGGGAAACCCGAUCCCACGGAGUGGCUUUCUGAGGGAGGAGGCCGUGCCCACAACUGAGCCUGGGGACGGGGCCGGGGGACCUAGGCCUGGGGGGCGGGAGGCAGCGGGGCGAGUCCCAGUUACUCAGCACACCCAGGAGGGGUACCACUCACGUAAUUCCUCUAAGACUCGGUGUCUUCAUCCAUAAAAUGGGAGCAACGAUGGGCAUCUCACGGAGCCGCUGGACGUUGGUUUGUUUUGCAGAUAGAAACGCCGGGAGAAGGCGGCGUUGCAGAGGACAGAGGGACCCCGCCUGGAAAACAAGAACAAAUACGUUCUGUUGCGAGGCGCAGCACGCGCACACUCACCGGGAAACCGGGAGAUGUGGGCAGGGGGUGCGCACCCCACUACUCACCUCCGUCCUUCCUACCGCUCUUCCGGACGACCCGAGGCUCACAAUCCCACUUUGCAGAGAGAAAGACAGCAAGAGAGGAAACACAGCCGGGUGAGUAGGAGAGGGAGAAGCAGGCUCCCCACUGAACAGGGAGCCCGAUGCGGGGCUCCAUCCCAGGACUCUGGGAUCAUGAUCUGAGCCACCUAGGCACCCCAUUUUUAAGAUUUUAUUUAUUCAUUUGACACACAGAGAGGGCACAAGCAGGAGGAGCAGCAGGCAGAGGGAGAAGCAAGCUCUCCGCUGAGCAGGGAGCCCCACGUGGGACUCGAUCCGAGGACCCUGGGACCCUGACCUGAGCCGAAGGCAGCCUCUUAACCAGCUGAGCUACCCUGGGGAAGGAAUUUCUGCUCCGGUAGAUCCAGUUUAGGCUAGGAAGUGUUAACGCGUAUCUGCUGUGUCAGUGCCCAGCCCCAGGAGCUCCUAGCCUGGUCUGUGAGGGCAGCAGUGACGGGCGCUCAGGGCCUGCUGGUGGAGGUAAUUAGAGAGAGAUUAUUACAGUACUUAGCUCCCAAAGUGUCCACGGAGAGCUGGGGGAGCACAGAGCAUGGACAGGGUUUCCGGGUGGGGGGUGAACAGGGUCUGUGGCCAGAAGGCUGUCCCAUCAAUACCCCCACCCCUGUCCCUGGGCCAGCUGGGCUUUGGAAUUCACUACCAAUCGUGGACUGGAGGCCUGAGAGGGGCCAGUGGGUGUAGAAUGGGGGGGGUCAGCGCAGACUCGAGGCUGAGGCUUCUCCGUCCUCACGUUACCCCACAAAACCAGCUGUCCGGCCCAGGCUGAGCUCCCGAGACCCGUGUCUGGGAGAGAGCACCGCCUCUGACUUCUGCACUUGCUGGUUAAAUGACCUUGGGCAGACGGCGUAACUUCUCUAAGUGACCCUCCUCGGUGCGCGUAACUUCUCUAAGUGACCCUCCUCGGUGCGCCGGGAUGGGAAAGGAGGCUAACACCCACUCCCAUAAGCUCGUCCCGAAGAUCAAGCGAGACCAUGUGGGGGAAGUCUUUGACGACCAUCCCCACGAAGGCCAUUACCCAGGAGCAAAAUCUCCCAUGAACUCUGGUGGUGAGUUUGGGGAUCACGGGGGGCAGAGAUGCUCUGGAAUGCUGGAGAAGAGUGCAGGAUUGAUUUUCCAAAGGUGGGAGACGGUGGGUUCCAGCAACCACAGCUGGGAGAGCCACACUGACGCGCAGCACAUUGUAAACGGAUAAGUGAUGUUUGAAAGGAUGACCAAGUCAGGAAAAGAAGGCCUUCCGUGGGGGACCAGCAGGCACUCAGCAGGCACAGGGAGGGCCAAAUGGCCUCCUCUCCUCCCCUGGGGUUACACUGGAUUACCGGGAUUUUUGUGAGGCCUUUGGGUGUAUAUCUCCUGUCCCGGGCCCAGGACACAGGGACCACGUGAUACGACAGUGGGCAGAUACAAAGUUCAGUGGCCAUCCCCAGAGAUGUCUCUCAGAAAGUGGAGGAAGUCUCUGUGGGCCGCCCUGCACGGUUCCGUCCUCCGCCUUGACUGUCACAGAUUUUUGUUAAAGACCGGGAUGAAAGCCCAGAAGCCCCAUGUGUCCAAUCUACAGAUCAUGCAAGAACUAAGAGUUAGAUUCUGACCGAAUAGAAAAAAAUGAACCAAAUAAUUGGGAUACAUGUAAAGAUCUGUUUUGGGUUUCAAAGGCAACAGCCUAAGGAGGGAACAGUGAAGAGGAGAGCUGAUCCACUGAAGACAGCCUGAGGGUCCUAGCAGACCACAGCUCAUCAUGAACCAAGACUGUAAAAUGGCUGCCCAACCAAGUAAGCGAUUAAUGGACGCAGGGUGUGCAGACCAGAGGUGGUGACGGCCCCGUUGCCCUCCAUGAAGUGGAGGGUAGUUCUGGACACCAUAUUUUAAGAGGGACCUUGAGAGGUUGGAAUUGAGCCCAGGGGAAGAAGACGGGGCAGCAAGAGAACUUGGAGCAAUGUUUGUUGAAGACCUUCUCAAUCAGCUCACACCCCAGCUAAGCUCCAAAGCUAAGAGCAGCGGCCUCUGAGCAUCACACACCCCUGAAGAGCGUUCCCAGGGCCGCCGGGAAGGCCUCUGCGGCCCGUCUUCAUGGGGAAGGCCCUGCUGGGGUGCAGGCCAGCCCUGGAAGGCAGGCUGCAGCUUCCCCUUCUCAGCUCAGAGGGGAAGCGUGACGCCCCCCAAGGCGUCCGGGGGCUCCGGGGGACCAGUCCUCAGGGGUGGGGGUCCCCCUGAAGGGCACCCUGGUGUCCCACUCCUGGGUGGGGAGCUUGCUGAGUAAGGGGAACAGACUGUGGGGAAGGACCCGGGGCAUAGAGGGCACCGCAGGGAGGGACAGGUGAGGUUUGGUGUGCCAAGAGGACCUGGGAAAGGAGCCCCCAUGGGGCCACAAGCGCCCCGCCCCCGGGGGGAGGUCCACGCCUGAGGGGGGCUGACUUGCAGCUCUGGGUAAGCAGCGCUCAGCCCUGUUUCCCCCUCCUGCAGAGGACAAAGGAGCUCGGAGGGGUCUGCCAGAUAUCCUGAAAGGACCGGAGAGGGAGAUACAGCAGCGUGUUAUCCCGGGCCCCGGUCAGGGAGGUGUCAGAUGGUCACAUUCUGGUUACCUCUCCUCUCCCACCUUCUUGCCUCAGAAUGCAGAGGCCAGGGGGCGCCUGGGUGGCACAGCGGUUAAGUCUCUGCCUUCAGCUCAGGGCGUGAUCCCGGCGUUAUGGGAUCGAGCCCCACAUCAGGCUCUUCUGCUAUGAGCCUGCUUCUUCCUCUCCCACUCCCCCUGCUUGUGUCCCCUCUCUCGCUGGCUGUCUCUCUCUCUGUCGAAAAAAAAAAAAAAAAAAAAAGAAUGCAGAGGCCAGGGCAUCUGUCGCUGACUUAGCCCCUCUUUGCCUCCCUGUCCUGCUCCUUCCAACCGGCUGCCCUGCGGCCGGCAUGGGGCCGGCGUGGGGCCAGCAUGGGGCUGGCUUGGCCAUCUCUCUUCCACAGCAGGGCAGGCGGCCUUCCCAGCCUCCAUUCUGGCCAGGCGGCUGAGGGACUGCAGGUAGGGUGGAAAGAGCACUGAACAGAAGAGUCUGCCCCUCUAGGCCACUUGGGGGCGUCAGUGCAUCCCUCUGGUCUUGGUUUUCUCAGUGCAUUGGAACAGUACUCAGGAGCCCCUCUUGAAUGCCAAGAGCACCCUACACACUGAAUAAAUACUGCGAAGGAAUCACAGAGGACUCGUGUGGACCCCCAUCCCCGGGAGCGUCUGGGCAUAUGGGACACGUGCGGGCUACAGUGUGAUCCCUAGAUGAGCAGGGAAAGCAGGGGGCAGUGUGGCUAAAGUGGGGCCUUUGCCUCGAGGCAGCGAGGAGUCAUGGGAGGGUUUUAACCUCAGUCUAAGGGUAACCUGGUCAGAUGACUAUCUUAGGAAGAUCGCUGCGGAGAACUGAGGUGGGGGGCGGGAGAGACAGCAAGCAUGGCUGGUCAUGAGGCUGUUGCCAACACCAGGGCUUGACAUGAUGAGACCUGAGCCAGGGGGUGGAGAGGAGGAAAGAGACAUGGGAAUACUUAGAAUGUCAGUUCCAGAAAGAGUGAGAUGUGGGGAUGGAGGGAGGGGACCGGGAAGACCCCGUGCUUGUGGCCUGGGGAGGGGUGCAGGGCGAGGCUCUGAUUUAGAAGGGUGAAGCCCCAGCGUGGUGGGUGGGGGGACCAUGAGCGUACAUGAGGCCACUCCGGGAGAGAAGGUACAGAGACGCUUUGUCCCCUUCUGCCUC